AGCUGAGUCAGCAGUCAGCCAUGGCUGAAACCAGGAAAUGCAGCUGUAGAGUACAUUGUAUCAUGCCUAUUCUGCUGGACCUUGAACAGUCUCACAGCAUCAUUUCAAUCUCAAAAUGGACCCUUUUUGAAGCAGUCACUAUAGACACACAGAGCAAAGGCAGCAAGCCUCCAUUUCAUAAAAUGGAAAUUAUGAGAUAUUCUUCUAUAGAGUUUAAAAAAAUGACUUCUCAUUGGGUGUUCUACAUUGUUUCUGAAGCAGCACAAGACUAACAGCCCAAAGGAUGCAUUCCUCGGAAAACUGGAAACAAAAUGUACAUGAACAUGAACACAAUCUUAACGCCAUUGAAGUAUGCAACUCCAAAGGAGCCAAGCAGUCCUGUGCCUGGAAAGCAAAUGCUCCUCAUCUCAGCUGCACCUGUCACCCUCAUGGAUUCAGAAAGCUGGCUGUUUAUUUCCACCCAGUCAUACCCCACCAAUUACUGGUUAAGCAGAUAGAACAGAAAGUCACUCAAGAAGAGAUUCCCUUACCUGCUGGCACUAACACUAAUGCUAAUGUUGUUGUUGGGUUUCUUGUUUUUGUUUUGUUUUGUUUUUUGGGGGAGACAGACGAUAAGCAUAGUUUAAUUAAUGAAGGCUAAUAUCUGAAAAAGCCACAGAAUGAACUCACUUUGAAGCAGCAGGUGGACCAGAAGAGUUGUUUUAGCAUAUAUCAAAGGAUCACAAAGGGAGAAGAAGGAUCUACCCCCUGGUAGACUU